rnacentral:lncRNA from 1 species
UUGAAUAGCCAUACGUGGCUUCAUUUUUUUCCCACCUACAAGUACAUUAAAUCAAUUAGUACACCACAAAAAAAUAAGUCUUGAAAUUUAAAAGCAAAAAUAAUCAUAAAUUAGUCAUAUGUUACCUCAUGAUUACAAGUUGUAAUUAACUUGACAACAUACGUAGCCCAUUGAUCAUGAAGUCGUGAGACCUCUUUCAUGGCGUAUUCAUCAAUUCUCUUGAACUUUAAUUUUAAAACAACAAGUUAUUUACCAAAAAUCAAAUUGUAAACUACUUAAUUAUCAUUCAUUUAAUAUAUCCAUGUGAUAACAAUUCAAAACAUUUUAUGCGCUUUAAAUGAGCUCCAACAAUAUUACUCUUUUAUCCAAAAUUAUACAGGAAGACAUUGAAUAUCUUGAAGACCAUGCUAAUUAAAAAAAAAAGAUAUUUCAACGAGUGUUGAUCUACAUUAUUAUAUGAAUUACUAUUGUUUACUCAACUUAUAUAAUAAUCUUUGAAGCCAAAACAACUUGUGAACACCAACACUAACCACUUUAAUGCAAAUAUGGAUGUAGAUGCAAAGCCUCAAUCCAUAUGCCUACUAUACAACUCCUCAUAUGAAAUAUAUAUAUAUAUAUAUAUAUAUAUAUAUAUAUAUAUAUAUAUAUAUAUAUAAAUUAGUAUUGCCUUUGUAAAUUAAAAUUAUUUACGGAAAGGAUAGUUAUUUAUUAUUUUACUCCAUCCAUUUUGAAAAUCACAAAAGUAAAUUUCAUUAUCCAUUUAUUAUUCUACUGGAAUGUAAUUUCAAUCAGCCAAAUUCAUAUAAAACAAUAUAGAUAUAGAUUCAAGUAGAAACCAUAAGCCUUUCCUCAAGCUCUUUAACUCCAUAUUCCUUAGCUCCUCAUAUGUAGAAAUGGGCUGCCAAAAAUGAAGUGCCAAGAUUCAUUCAGGCUUUUUAUCAAACAAUUGGAGGGCAUAAAAAAUCUGAAGACAGUGAAUAGUAUGGCAACAUGCAUGUGAUUACCUACAUUCAAGAACAAAACAAAAAGAAGAGGAAUAAAGAUAAAGAUAGAAGAUUGGUCUAAUUAUCACUCAUGUCCUAUAUAACAUGUACACAUUACAAGUUAUCUCACUGCUAAGUCAAUUACGAAUUGUCACUCAUUUGUAAGUCAUAUUGUUAGUGUCUAACAUAUGAAAGUCAUAACCAAGUACUCAUUUGCUUCACAUUACACAGAACAUCUUCAAGAGACUUAAAUAACCCAUGCAUGAAACAACUACCAAUCUACCUACUCUUAACAUGUAGAGGAACAAAGAUAACAGAUUUUGCAUUACACAAAUCAAAAUAGCAAUUCAAUUCAUGUACCUAUAAAAUUUGAAAAUCAAAACACUAUCAAGCACUUAUAUAUUUUAGUCCAUAAACAUUCACCUACAAACUCCAUUUUGCAGCAACUAGCAUAUGGCCUUCCUUCACCAGCAGCAAGCAUAUCUUAUAAAUGAAUAAUGAAUGGACAAGAAAAUCAUUUGCGGCUUGCUUUUAACUUGUGAACAAUUCACUGCUUAACUGCAGGUAAUAAGACAAAUCAAUUCUUUAUUUAGUAACAAGGUUAAGAGUAGAUUUUUACUAAACCAGUUCAAAUAUAUAUUAAUUCAAUACUUCCAAUCAAAAACAGGGGUAAAAAGGCAUGGUGGGUCAUGAAGAAAUGAACUUACGGGAGCAAUAAUAACAAAUUUGGCUUUAUUCUAUAAGCAUCAUAAACUUGGAAUUAGAGAAAUUAAAGAUGUUAGAGUCAUUAAAAAAAAACAUGAAAAGCAUAAGAGAAUUAUAUAGGCAUAAGGGUUCCUAUUAGCAAGGACUUGGGGAUAAUCUUUACAAAAAAUGUAUUUUUUUAAACAUAUAAUGCUUAUGUUUAAGCCCGUGAUUCACUCACUCACGACAAGGGUUUGGGUUUCCUGGGUUAUGAAGGGUUUGUUGGUGGCAGAGAGUGUCGGCAGUGGGUGAGUGAAGAUUUGGGUCUCGAUUUGUGGGUGGGUUUUGGAUAUUUUCAGCAGCUACGGUUUGGAUUGUGUUGACAGGUAAGCAGAAGUUUCAAUUUAGGACUGACUUCAACUCCAGUGCAGUAAAGAGAGACGACUGCGACUCAACGGCGAGCCAGCGCCAAUAAGCUAGGUCUGUCACAGAGAGAGAGAGAGAGAGAGAAAUGCUUGUACUUUGGACUACCGGUGAAUGAAAAUAUGGAAAAAUAAGAAAAAAAACAAAUUCAAAUUAUAAUUAAAUAAAAGAAAAAAUAUAUGGAAGACAAAACCCAUUAGCAUCACACUAUUUGUAGAAUUUCUCAACAUCUGAAAAAAUCCAAAAAAUUAAAUAAAAAAAUUAAUCAUAAGCUAAAUUAAAACAAAUCCAUCAAUUAAAUUGACGAAAAAUAAAAUAUUAAGUCAUUACCAGUUGACAACCCCCUUAGUUCUUUCUCCAAACUUAGCUUGUGAGGGAGAACGAGCUAGAUUACUUGAAUAUGCAACUUAUGGUAGCCACUUCAUCCCUUGUUGGUGGUUAUUACUUGCUUGCCCAGUAGAGGCACUAGAUGUUUAGUUGGAGAAAAAGCCCCUUCUAUAACAAGCAGUUAGGGUUUUGGUUCGUUUUUCAAUUUGGGAAAAUGGAAAAAAGGAAACAAAGUUUUAAUUUUUCAUUAUCUAUUUGGAUUAAUUGAACUUAAUUUGUAAAUAGACAACAGAAAACAGAAGAGAUCGAGAAGAAAACGAAAGAGAAAGAGGAAGAUAAAGGCAAGAUAGCGAUGGAGUUUAAGAACGAUAGCUAGAUG